rnacentral:rRNA from 1 species
AACGAACGCUGGCGGCAUGCCUAACACAUGCAAGUCGAACGAGACCUUCGGGUCUAGUGGCGCACGGGUGCGUAACGCGUGGGAACCUGCCCUUAGGUUCGGAAUAACUCCCCGAAAGGGGUGCUAAUACCGGAUAAUGUCUUCGGACCAAAGAUUUAUCGCCUUUGGAUGGGCCCGCGUUGGAUUAGCUAGUUGGUAGGGUAAAAGCCUACCAAGGCGACGAUCCAUAGCUGGUCUGAGAGGAUGAUCAGCCACACUGGGACUGAGACACGGCCCAGACUCCUACGGGAGGCAGCAGUGGGGAAUAUUGGACAAUGGGCGAAAGCCUGAUCCAGCAAGGCCGCGUGAGUGAUGAAGGCCUUAGGGUUGUAAAGCUCUUUUACCCGGGAUGAUAAUGACAGUACCGGGAGAAUAAGCUCCGGCUAACUACGU